GGAGAGGUGGCAGAGUGGUCGAAUGCACCGCACUCGAAAUGCGGCAUACCUGCAAGGGUAUAGUGGGUUCGAAUCCCACCCUCUCCGCCA
rnacentral:tRNA from 1 species